rnacentral:rRNA from 1 species
AGCAGUAGCCGCGGGAAUACGUAGGGUGCAAGCGUUAAUCGGAAUUACUGGGCGUAAAGCGUGCGCAGGCGGUUUGUUAAGACAGAUGUGAAAUCCCCGGGCUCAACCUGGGAACUGCAUUUGUGACUGGCAAGCUAGAGUGUGGCAGAGGGGGGUGGAAUUCCGCGUGUAGCAGUGAAAUGCGUAGAUAUGCGGAGGAACACCGGUGGCGAAGGCAGCCCCCUGGGCCAACACUGACGCUCAUGCACGAAAGCGUGGGGAGCAAACAGGAUUAGAUACCCCCGUAGUCCCUGUCUCUUAUAC